rnacentral:rRNA from 1 species
UCCAGACUCCUACGGGAGGCAGCAGUGGGGAAUAUUGGGCAAUGGGCGCAAGCCUGACCCAGCAAUGCCGCGUGAAGGAAGAAGGCUUUCGGGUUGUAAACUUCUUUGACAGGGGAAGAGCAGAAGACGGUACCCUGAAAACAAGCCACGGCUAACUACGUGCCAGCAGCCGCGGUAAUACGUAGGUGGCAAGCGUUAUCCGGAUUUACUGGGUGUAAAGGGCGUGUAGGCGGGGACGCAAGUCAGAUGUGAAAACCACGGGCUCAACCUGUGGCCUGCAUUUGAAACUGUGUUUCUUGAGUACUGGAGAGGCAGACGGAAUUCCUAGUGUAGCGGUGAAAUGCGUAGAUAUUAGGAGGAACACCAGUGGCGAAGGCGGUCUGCUGGACAGCAACUGACGCUGAGGCGCGAAAGCGUGGGGAGCAAACAGGAUUAGAUACCCCAGUA